rnacentral:rRNA from 1 species
GACGAACCGUGCGAACGUUGUUCGGAUUCACUGGGCUUAAAGCGCGUGUAGGCGGCUUGGCAAGUCGGAUGUGAAAGCCCACGGCUCAACCGUGGAAGCGCAUCCGAAACGGCCUCGCUCGAGUCUCGGAGAGGAAGGUGGAAUGCUUGGUGUAGAGGUGAAAUUCGUAGAUAUCAAGCAGAACACCUGCGGCGAAGGCGGCCUUCUGGACGAUGACUGACGCUGAGACGCGAAAGCGUGGGGAGCAAACAGG